rnacentral:rRNA from 1 species
AGAGUUUGAUCCUGGCUCAGGAUGAACGCUGGCGGCGUGCUUAACACAUGCAAGUCGAACGGACUUUAUAUGAAGCCUAGCGAUUAUAAAGUUAGUGGCGGACGGGUGAGUAACGCGUGAAUAACCUGCCCUGUACCGGGGGACAACAGUUGGAAACGACUGCUAAUACCGCAUAAGCGCACAGUUCCGCAUGGAACAGUGUGAAAAACUCCGGUGGUACAGGAUGGAUUCGCGUCUGAUUAGCCAGUUGGUGGGGUAACGGCCUACCAAAGCAACGAUCAGUAGCCGGCCUGAGAGGGUGAACGGCCACAUUGGGACUGAGACACGGCCCAAACUCCUACGGGAGGCAGCAGUGGGGAAUAUUGCACAAUGGGGGAAACCCUGAUGCAGCGACGCCGCGUGAGUGAAGAAGUUAUUCGUAACGUAAAGCUCUAUCAGCAGGGAAGAAAAUGACGGUACCUGACUAAGAAGCCCCGGCUAACUACGUGCCAGCAGCCGCGGUAAUACGUAGGGGGCAAGCGUUAUCCGGAUUUACUGGGUGUAAAGGGAGCGUAGACGGCACAGCAAGUCUGAUGUGAAAGCCUGGGGCCCAACCCCGGAACUGCAUUGGAAACUGCUGGGCUUGAGUGCAGGAGAGGUAAGCGGAAUUCCUAGUGUAGCGGUGAAAUGCGUAGAUAUUAGGAGGAACACCAGUGGCGAAGGCGGCUUACUGGACUGUAACUGACGUUGAGGCUCGAAAGCGUGGGGAGCAAACAGGAUUAGAUACCCUGGUAGUCCACGCCGUAAACGAUGAUUACUAGGUGUCGGGGGGCCAAGGUCCUUCGGUGCCGCCGCAAACGCAAUAAGUAAUCCACCUGGGGGAGUACGUUCCGCAAGAAUGAAACUCCAAAGGAAUUGACCGGGGACCCGCACAAACGGUGGGAGCAUGUGGGUUUAAUUCCGAAACAACCCCGAAGAAACCUUAACCUGGGCUUUGACAUCCCCAAGAACCGCUCUUGUAAUGGAGAGCUUUUUCUUCCGAACAUUUGGAAACAAGGGGGGUGCAGGGGUUGUCGUCAGCUCGUGUCGUGAGAUGUUGGGUUAAGUCCCGCAACGAGCGCAACCCCUAUCUUCAGUAGCCAGCAUUUAAGGUGGGCACUCUGGAGAGACUGCCCGGGAUAACCGGGAGGAAGGCGGGGAUGACGUCAAAUCAUCAUGCCCCUUAUGACCAGGGCUACACACGUGCUACAAUGGCGUAACAAAGGGAAGCGAACCCGUGAGGGGGAGCAAAUCCCAAAAAUAACGUCCCAGUUCGGACUGUAGUCUGCAACCCGACUACACGAAGCUGGAAUCGCUAGUAAUCGCGAAUCAGAAUGUCGCGGUGAAUACGUUCCCGGGUCUUGUACACACCGCCCGUC